CAUGUUGUAGUACGUGCUUUUCUCGUCGUUUUGGUAUAUUAUAUGUUGAAUUUUGAGUUCGGAAUCAUAUAGAAACAGUGGUUUAAUUCUUGAGUUGAGUGUUCUUGGUGUUCUUGAGGUUCCUCGCCGGAAAACUCAAGCUCUUCGCCGGAAUUUUGAUCCGUUAAGUCUGGGAAGUAGUGGAAUAUAUGAAUAGAAAGAGGAGAGAAAGGGGAGUAUGCUGGUGUGCUUGGUUUGAGCGGAGGUGGCUCGAAUCGCCGCCAUCGGCGGCGGGAAGUCGCCGACUUCGGCCGGAUUUUCCGGCGAAUUCGCGCGACUUCUGCCUAAUUAAAGAUGGGGGAUUGAUUUAUGGGUGUGUGUACUACUUAUCUGGAGUAGAUGGUGAGUGGAGGACGCCUGGAAACGAAUUUCCGGCGAGUUAGUGUGGUGGCCGGCGGCUUAUUGCUGUUUGGUCACCGAAGUUUUGAAGAUGAUGAAGUUUUUGUACUCAGGUUUUGAAACUUGUGAAUUACCCCCUGUAACUUUGAAAAAUUGCACUUUAAACCCUGGACAAAACUUUCAAAAGUUUACACUUUAAACCUUUGAUUUUAAUUUUCAAAAAUUGUUUUAUUUAAUUAUUUUAAUUUCAAUAAAAUGCUUUUUAAUUAUUUCUUUAUUCAAAAAUAAAUCUAAAUUAGUUUGUUAAUUAAUUUUAAUUAGUAAUUAAUUAUUUAAUUGGUCAAUUAAUUUAAAUAUUAAUUGAUUAAUUAUUUUAAUUAAUUAUUAAUUGAUUUUAAUUGAUUAAUUAAUUGGAUUUAAUUAAUCCUUUUUGAUUUAAAAAUUCCGAAAAAUAGUUUCGAGCUUUAAAAUAUUUUUCCAAAUUAUUUUCAAGGCUCGAUAAUUGUUUAUGAAUGAUUUCAAGUCCAAUUUCAAGUAUUUGGGACUUGAUUAUUUAUCCGAAAAGUGAUUCUUUUAUCGAUUUUAAUUCC
rnacentral:lncRNA from 1 species